rnacentral:rRNA from 1 species
UUGAAGAGUUUGAUCAUGGCUCAGAUUGAACGCUGGCGGCAGGCCUAACACAUGCAAGUCGAACGGUAACAGGAAGCAGCUUGCUGCUUUGCUGACGAGUGGCGGACGGGUGAGUAAUGUCUGGGAAACUGCCUGAUGGAGGGGGAUAACUACUGGAAACGGUAGCUAAUACCGCAUAACGUCGCAAGACCAAAGAGGGGGACCUUCGGGCCUCUUGCCAUCGGAUGUGCCCAGAUGGGAUUAGCUAGUAGGUGGGGUAACGGCUCACCUAGGCGACGAUCCCUAGCUGGUCUGAGAGGAUGACCAGCCACACUGGAACUGAGACACGGUCCAGACUCCUACGGGAGGCAGCAGUGGGGAAUAUUGCACAAUGGGCGCAAGCCUGAUGCAGCCAUGCCGCGUGUAUGAAGAAGGCCUUCGGGUUGUAAAGUACUUUCAGCGGGGAGGAAGGGAGUAAAGUUAAUACCUUUGCUCAUUGACGUUACCCGCAGAAGAAGCACCGGCUAACUCCGUGCCAGCAGCCGCGGUAAUACGGAGGGUGCAAGCGUUAAUCGGAAUUACUGGGCGUAAAGCGCACGCAGGCGGUUUGUUAAGUCAGAUGUGAAAUCCCCGGGCUCAACCUGGGAACUGCAUCUGAUACUGGCAAGCUUGAGUCUCGUAGAGGGGGUAGAAUUCCAGGUGUAGCGGUGAAAUGCGUAGAGAUCUGGAGGAAUACCGGUGGCGAAGGCGGCCCCCUGGACGAAGACUGACGCUCAGGUGCGAAAGCGUGGGGAGCAAACAGGAUUAGAUACCCUGGUAGUCCACGCCGUAAACGAUGUCGACUUGGAGGUUGUGCCCUUGAGGCGUGGCUUCCGGAGCUAACGCGUUAAGUCGACCGCCUGGGGAGUACGGCCGCAAGGUUAAAACUCAAAUGAAUUGACGGGGGCCCGCACAAGCGGUGGAGCAUGUGGUUUAAUUCGAUGCAACGCGAAGAACCUUACCUGGUCUUGACAUCCACGGAAGUUUUCAGAGAUGAGAAUGUGCCUUCGGGAACCGUGAGACAGGUGCUGCAUGGCUGUCGUCAGCUCGUGUUGUGAAAUGUUGGGUUAAGUCCCGCAACGAGCGCAACCCUUAUCCUUUGUUGCCAGCGGUCCGGCCGGGAACUCAAAGGAGACUGCCAGUGAUAAACUGGAGGAAGGUGGGGAUGACGUCAAGUCAUCAUGGCCCUUACGACCAGGGCUACACACGUGCUACAAUGGCGCAUACAAAGAGAAGCGACCUCGCGAGAGCAAGCGGACCUCAUAAAGUGCGUCGUAGUCCGGAUUGGAGUCUGCAACUCGACUCCAUGAAGUCGGAAUCGCUAGUAAUCGUGGAUCAGAAUGCCACGGUGAAUACGUUCCCGGGCCUUGUACACACCGCCCGUCACACCAUGGGAGUGGGUUGCAAAAGAAGUAGGUAGCUUAACCUUCGGGAGGGCGCUUACCACUUUGUGAUUCAUGACUGGGGUGAAGUCGUAACAAGGUAACCGUAGGGGAACCUGCGGUUGGAUCACCUCCUU